AGAGCCCAAUAUCCAGGCAAAGAUACAGAGUCAAGGUAUGUUGGAACAGCUCUGUCCAUGGAGGAUUCCCAGCUCUUCCUACAGUUUGCAUACUUCCCAGGGCUAUACUUAUUUUCUUAUGUGGGAAUUGCAGGAACACACAGGCCCCACAGGUACCGUGGUGCCUCCUGGCUACUCCAACCAGCCUUAUCAGAGCCCUCACCCUUCUACCAACCCUUUGUAGAUCCUAUGUACCACCUGCAACAGUGGCUCAGUGGCUAUGUGUACCAGCAGGCCUUAACCUAUAAGUAUGGCCUGAGCUCCACUCAAAGAUUUUCACACCUGAAACUGUGGCAAACACCCAUAGGUACUAAGACUCCACUGAAUACUCACUCCUUCAGGCAUUCAAUCAACUGUCAUCCCACCUGAGCAAAAGCAGCAGCAGAAACAGCAGUAGCAGGACCACAUCUGAUGACCGCAGCAGCAACAGCAACAGUGACAG
rnacentral:lncRNA from 1 species